GAUGCCCAGCUUGCUGGGCGGAUUAGUGGSGAACGGGUGAGUAAUACGUGAGUAACCUGCCCUUGACUCUGGGAUAAGCCUGGGAAACUGGGUCUAAUACUGGAUACUACCUCUUACCGCAUGGUGGGUGGUGGAAAGGGUUUUACUGGUUUUGGAUGGGCUCACGGCCUAUCAGCUUGUUGGUGGGGUAAUGGCUCACCAAGGCGACGACGGGUAGCCGGCCUGAGAGGGUGACCGGCCACACUGGGACUGAGACACGGCCCAGACUCCUACGGGAGGCAGCAGUGGGGAAUAUUGCACAAUGGGCGGAAGCCUGAUGCAGCGACGCCGCGUGAGGGAUGACGGCCUUCGGGUUGUAAACCUCUUUCAGUAGGGAAGAAGCGAGAGUGACGGUACCUGCAGAAGAAGCGCCGGCUAACUACGUGCCAGCAGCCGCGGUAAUACGUAGGGCGCAAGCGUUGUCCGGAAUUAUUGGGCGUAAAGAGCUCGUAGGCGGUUUGUCGCGUCUGCUGUGAAAGCCCGGGGCUCAACCCCGGGSUCUGCAGUGGGUACGGGGCARACUAGAGUGCA
rnacentral:rRNA from 1 species